rnacentral:rRNA from 1 species
CAGUCGCCGCGGGAAUACGUAGGUCCCGAGCGUUGUCCGGAUUUAUUGGGCGUAAAGCGAGCGCAGGUGGUUUAAUAAGUCUGAUGUGAAAGCCCACGGCUCAACCGUGGAGGGUCAUUGGAAACUGUUAAACUUGAGUGCAGGAGAGAAAAGUGGAAUUCCUAGUGUAGCGGUGAAAUGCGUAGAGAUUAGGAGGAACACCAGUGGCGAAGGCGGCUUUUUGGCCUGUAACUGACACUGAGGCGCGAAAGCGUGGGGAGCAAACAGGAUUAGAUACCCCUGUAGUCCCUGUCUCUUAUAC